CUGACUGUGAGAUGGAGAUUAGCGUGCAGGACAUUUCUUACGGGUUGUUCUUGGGAUCAACACCUGUGGAGAGGAGAAGCUGAGGCAGGAUCAGGAAGCGGGUAAGUAGAGUGCAACGCUGGUGAAGCGGCAUCGCUGUCUGUGGUAAAUAUCCGGGGUUCAUCAUCUCUCGUCAAGAUGACUACCGACAUGGGCACGUAUGGUUGAGUUAAGGAGCGGAAAGUUUAAUAAGCAGAAGAAAACACAGAGGAGACCAGCUAUCAGACAUCCUUGAGGGAAAGGCUGGCCCGUGACUGACUGCAGCAGGUUUUAAGGGCAGGCUUGAGGAGGCGGUGUCUGAUUUAUGUAGGGCCCAGCGAUUGGUUAGACCAGGGGUGACGUUUACGUAGCUCGCAGGGAAGGCUGGUCACCCCACCCUAAUCUUAUUCAGCAACUAGGCUUUCCACUUGGCCGGCGCCAUCUUGUCCAGUCGUUACUGUACGCAGGGCUGGCAAAAAGAGAAGAUGGAGCCGUUCUGGGCAUGUUCUAGGCAUUUAGAACAUGCCUAAUCCCAGCUUCAUCUUGCUGAGCAAAAAUGAAGGAGCCUGGACCCAACUUUGUUACUGUGAGAAAGGGUCUUCAUUCAUUCAAGAUGGCUUUUGUGAAGCACCUACUGUGAGUAGAUGAUUUCGUGUCAGAGACAGUUAACAAAUCCUCAGAAUAUUGCAUCAUGUACAGUUAUUGGAGAUGAGUAACUCACAUUCUCUUAAUUGUAAUGGUUCCUUGGAAAGUCAUCGUGGAAGAUGAAGGCUGGCUCAUACAUUUUCCCAGACAGGAAUUUGGCUGCCAACAGGGAAUUCUGAACAACUGAAAACUCCAGAUGAAUGCACAACAUAAUGAUGGUUAAAAAUUUAAAAAAAAAAAAAAAAGCACGACAAACCUUGGAAAUCAAGAAAGUUCUGGAAUGAUGAAGCUGUUCAUGCCGAGACCUAAAGCGCUGGCCCAGUAUGAGUCCUUUCAGUUCAUGCCAUGGCAAUUUUCUUGGAGCUCCUUUUUAUUGUUAGUUCUCAUUUGUUUCCAUAUUUAGUGAACAUACACUUAAUUGCAAAGCUGUCAUUAAUAAAAAUUCUUACAGUACCUCA